rnacentral:rRNA from 1 species
GUGGAUCCUGAGUACGACGGAGCACGUGAAAUUCCGUCGGAAUCUGGGAGGACCAUCUCCUAAGGCUAAAUACUCUCUAGUGACCGAUAGUGAACCAGUACCGUGAGGGAAAGGUGAAAAGUACCCCAGAAGGGGAGUGAAAGAGAACUUGAAACCGUGUGCUUACAAGUAGUCAGAGCCCGUUAAUGGGUGAUGGCGUGCCUUUUGUAGAAUGAACCGGCG